rnacentral:rRNA from 1 species
CUGGUCUUGACAUCCACAGAACUUUCCAGAGAUGGAUUGGUGCCUUCGGGAACUGUGAGACAGGUGCUGCAUGGCUGUCGUCAGCUCGUGUUGUGAAAUGUUGGGUUAAGUCCCGCAACGAGCGCAACCCUUAUCUUUUGUUGCCAGCGGUCCGGCCGGGAACUCAAAGGAGACUGCCAGUGAUAAACUGGAGGAAGGUGGGGAUGACGUCAAGUCAUCAUGGCCCUUACGACCAGGGCUACACACGUGCUACAAUGGCGCAUACAAAGAGAAGCGACCUCACGAGAGCAAGCGGACCUCAUAAAGUGCGUCGUAGUCCGGAUUGGAGUCUGCAACUCGACUCCAUGAAGUCGGAAUCGCUAGUAAUCGNGGAUCANAAUGCCACGGNGAAUACGUUCCCGGGCCUUGUACACACCGCCGUCACACCAUGGGAGUGGGUUGCAAAAGAAGUAGGUAGCUUAACCUUCGGGAGGGCGCUUACCACUUUGUGAUUCAUGACUGGGGGUG